UGAAACCUUGAAGGGAGCCAAGCAUUUCACUGAGCCAGCUACCUACAUGGAGCUCUUUGUGCUUCCUAAGGGGUUCAUGAGGGUAGAACUGUGAGCCAACAAUUGAGGGAGGGCUUAAGUGUUUUAGACAGUUGCUUUGAACACUGAUUAGCAGACAAAUAUCUGUGCACAGGGGCAGCGGCAGGGGGACCCUUAUUGACACAGAAUAGGCCUCUGAGGGUGGACCUCUUGAAUGUAUCAGUUUAGGUCAGGGGAUUAUAAUCUGGAGUUCACAGUGAGAGCUCAGCACCUAUAACAGGAAACAAACCCUGAGGCUGGACUGGUCAUUGGAAAUUGUACAGACGGGUUUUUCACCAUGUUGGUCAUGUUGCCUGCAAUUCUUGGUGCACCUGGACCUGUAGAUGCAUCGCUCUAAUCCCUGCCUCCAUCGUCACAUGGUGAACUCCCUGGGCUCCUGAAACCCCCACCUGCCUGGGCCUGUCUAAUCUUGCACUUGUCAAGAGGUCCCUGCUAUGAAGAGAGAAGAGCUGGGGGCCAGAGACUGGAGCAGGAAGGGAUUCAGUCAAGGCUGACACUGACCCCAGAGGAUGAGCCCUUGGGGGAAAAUCGUCUCUUCAUGAUGUAGCCUCCUGGGCCCAAGUUUUGCCUGUAAAACUAGAACAGGUUCCAUCCGCCCUGAACUGCACUCCCUUUCUCGUCUUGGUUUCUCUCUGCAAUGACUCACUGGUCUGAGCACGUUCCUCCCCACAUCAGCAAUGGGAAGCACGGAGAAGACAGUGUCCAGCGCCCUCUGAAGUCAUUGGCGACCGCAAUGGAAGUAGUUGGGGGUCGACAGUAAAGUUGGAGACUGAAAUUAUUUGAGCUCUUAAAGUGAGAUAAUAAGGUAACUUUCCUCCUCCUGGUAUGAGCUCAUUUAAUUGUAAAGAUCUUAAUAAAUUCAGCCUGAUU